GACGAACGCUGGCGGCGUGCUUAACACAUGCAAGUCGAACGGAAAGGCCCUGCUUGCAGGGUACUCGAGUGGCGAACGGGUGAGUAACACGUGGGUGAUCUGCCCUGCACUUCGGGAUAAGCCUGGGAAACUGGGUCUAAUACCGGAUAGGAGCCAUUUUUAGUGUGAUGGUUGGAAAGUUUUUUCGGUGUAGGAUGAGCUCGCGGCCUAUCAGCUUGUUGGUGGGGUAAUGGCCUACCAAGGCGGCGACGGGUAGCCGGCCUGAGAGGGUGGACGGCCACAUUGGGACUGAGAUACGGCCCAGACUCCUACAGGAGGCAGCAGUGGGGAAUAUUGCACAAUGGGCGCAAGCCUGAUGCAGCGACGCCGCGUGGGGGAUGACGGCCUUCGGGUUGUAAACUCCUUUCGCUAGGGACGAAGCUUUUUGUGACGGUACCUAGAUAAGAAGCACCGGCUAACUACGUG
rnacentral:rRNA from 1 species